UACGUAGGUGGCAAGCGUUACUCGGAAUCACUAGGCGUAAAGCGCAGGUAGGCGGUUCGGUAAGUCUCUUGUGAAAGCUCCCGGCUCAACUGGGAGAGGUCAAGGGAAACUACCGGGCUAGAGUGUGGCAGAGGAAGCUGGAAUUCCCGGUGUAGCGGUGAAAUGCGUAGAGAUCGGGAGGAAUACCUAUGGCGAAAGCAGGCUUCUGGGCCGUCACUGACGCUGAUCCGCGAAAGCUAGGGGAGCAAACAGG
rnacentral:rRNA from 1 species